rnacentral:rRNA from 1 species
UACGUAGGGGGCUAGCGUUGUCCGGAAUCAUUGGGCGUAAAGCGCGUGUAGGCGGUCCGGUAAGUCCGCUGUGAAAGUCGGGGGCUCAACCCUCGGAUGCCGGUGGAUACUGUCGGACUUGAGUACGGGAGAGGCGAGUGGAAUUCCUGGUGUAGCGGUGAAAUGCGCAGAUAUCAGGAGGAACACCAAUUGCGAAGGCAGCUCGCUGGAACGUUACUGACGCUGAGACGCGAAAGCGUGGGGAGCAAACAGG